GCUGGUGGGUAUGAGACUCAGCUAGUAGGAGGGUGACAAGAGACUCAGUCUAGAUCAGAAACAAGUACCAACAUACCAGGAAGGCUGUGUAAAAGGAAAUGCUCCCCAAUUAAAAAAACUAUGACAGGACUCAACCCUUUCCCUGGCCCCCCAAAUUUGAAGAUCUGAUCCAGAUUCCCUGAAGUACAACCUCAAAAUGAAGACUUGGCACUAAGAAAAAAGCCUCAGUACAAAGCCUAGUGAUCAUUGCUUUGUUUUUAGAGGAAAAAACAGGGGAGAAGGAGGUGGACCUUAGCUUGUUAUGGAAGUAAAGGAGCUUAAAGUAGUGAGGUAAAAGAAAUGAGGUGACUUGUCUAAGUUCAUAAAGGGAGUCCAUAGCAGUGAUGGGAUUCAAACCCUGGUCCUGGUCCAGAAUGAAGUACUUUUCUUACUGUGCCAGUUGCCAGAGUUUCAUUUGGGAGGAAAAAAAAAAGUUUCUUCAUUGUUAUGAUUUCAGAGAUUCUUUCCUUUUGAGUUCUAAGAUACAUUUCCUGCUCUGUGGGAAAGCAGUU
rnacentral:lncRNA from 1 species